AGAGUUUGAUCAUGGCUCAGGAUGAACGCUAGCGGGAGGCCUAACACAUGCAAGCCGAGCGGUAUAGAAUCUUCGGAUUUUAGAGAGCGGCGUACGGGUGCGGAACACGUGUGCAACCUACCUUUAUCUGGAGGAUAGCCUUUCGAAAGGAAGAUUAAUACUCCAUAAUAUAUUGAUUGGCAUCAAUUAAUAUUGAAAGCUCUGGCGGAUAGAGAUGGGCACGCGCAAGAUUAGUUAGUUGGUGAGGUAACGGCUCACCAAGACGAUGAUCUUUAGGGGGCCUGAGAGGGUGAUCCCCCACACUGGUACUGAGACACGGACCAGACUCCUACGGGAGGCAGCAGUGAGGAAUAUUGGACAAUGGGUGCAAGCCUGAUCCAGCCAUCCCGCGUGAAGGACGACUGCCUAUGGGUUGUAAACUUCUUUUGUAUAGGGAUAAACCUCUCCUCGUGAGGAGAGCUGAAGGUACUAUACGAAUAAGCACCGGCUAACUCCGUG
rnacentral:rRNA from 1 species